CUUCUUCCAUCCUGCGCACCCGAAAAAAAAGCUCAAAAAAGAAGAAAAAACCACGACCCAUGAACGCACGAUCCCACGCCCACGCAGCUCGUCUCCCGCAUCCCAUGGCUCCCGAUCCCGUCUCUCUCCCGGCUCCUGAGGAAAAAAUGUCUCCUGCUCUCGCCUCCUCGUCCGCCCCGCGGUCGUGGUCCAGGCCGUCGGCGCUGGGAUCCAGUCCCAUGAAGAAAUUCUCUACUCCUCCCUCUUAUCUGUACCACUCUAGAUCGCGUCCAACCAUCGUCGAGCUUGGCGGCAGCGCAGAAGGAGAGCGCUGGUACGUCGGCGCUAGAGGACGUACUGGGCUUGGGGGUGGUUUGCAAGUGCAGCCAUACGACUCGGCCAUGGCGGAUGCGCUGGCCGCCGGGAACGCCAGUCCGCCACCGUACCAUUGGGGACGCCGUUAGGAAGGGGUGUUCUCAGUGCGACGGAAGGUCGGCGUCGAGUGGUGCGGCGAGUGCCAGGCUUCUAGAGGGCGCCGCCGGUAUGACAGCGGGGUGCCGGAUGAUCACACGUGCUUAUGCUCCGGCGGACAGGCUAGCAGGUCGUGUCCUACUACUUCUUUAGGUUCAGGUACCCUUGAUCGAUCUAAGUGGUAAUUGGUUGGUCAACGAUGUUUGAUUGAUCUAAUCAAUCUUUUUUUUGAAACUGAUCUAAUCAACCUUGAGAUGUCCUAAUUUCUCACCAGUCUAUUUAGGAAGACUUCAUCUGCAAGUAUGUAUCACUCUUUUUGACUAUAGGAAAUCUGAACCGUGCCCACGAUGCGCCAGGGCUGGGAUCAUCACGGCGCCUGCACAAGGUGGUAUGAGUGCAGCACAGCCGAUGCAUCCUCUCCACCCGCCGCCGGUCUCUUUUUCAUCAUACAAGCAAGGAGACUCAUCGAUCAGAGAACUGGUGCAUGCGUGCCGCGUGCGGCAUGGCAUUGGAGAAUAGUGAAGCAAGCCCAUGGAUGAAGAAUCAUUGGCACCGGCCUAUGUGGCAGCAUUACCAGAUGCGUACGCAGUUCGUGCGAAGGGACCCCUCAUUGCUUCGACGCUGAUUCAGUGGGAAUCACCAGUUCACCGCCGCCACUGUUGAAGACGUGUAGAAAUAGCUUGUGUUUUUUCCUGUUCCCCUCAUUGGUGUUCUCGUCCCUUCCUCUCGACUCAUGCAGAUUCCGAACAUUGCGUUUUUUGUUUGUUUGUUCAUAUGCAGGUUCUCUCCUAGAUUUGGUGGUGUAGAAGUCAGCGGCGUUGGCGCGCUGCAGCCUGCAGGUCAUGGAUGUGAAGCAGGCCCUGAUUCUGAACUAUGGGAGGAUCAAGUUAUUACGGAGGACAGAAAAGAAGAGGUGCAUUGCAAUAUAUAUUUGACUAUUAAAUGUGUGGCACAAUCUGUUGACAAACACAUUUAGGUAUGUGUAGUAUGCUUCAGACCAGGCUCCAAAAUCAGGAUACAUGCCAGCUGCAAAGCAAAUAUAUUAAAGUUGCUCAGCAAUGUGCGGUGGCGCAUGUGGAGUAGGAGGUACCGAGGUAGAAGAGAGGAUGGAGAAGGUGGUUAUUCCGGCCUUACGUUUGAGUGUUGAAUGUGGAGUAUAUGAAAAUACUUGAGUUGAAGAGCAUCCAGUACCUGAGAUAAAUGAUCGAGGUGAUGCUUGACUUGAAUAAAAUGAGUUGUCAGAAUAUGAAAAGAGGAAAUUACUGUUUUUGAUUGCAUCUUAAUCUAAAGAUGAAUUUAAUGACACUUGCAUUGACGAAUUGAAGAAACUCCUGUCGAACACCUUUGAUGGUUGC